rnacentral:misc_RNA from 1 species
UUUCCGUAGGUGAACCUGCGGAAGGAUCAUUAAUGAGUUGUCAUGGGGUUCGAUGCUGGCAGCCAAUUUUUGGAUGCAUGUGCUUGCCCUAACAAUCAUCUUCCAAACACCUGUGCACAUUUUUGAGGGAGUCUUGAGUUGGUUGCCGCUCUUGGGUGAUUUUCUCACAUUCCCUUAAAUCAUUAUACGCUAUUAACAAUGUUGAACGUGCUCUGUGCCGCAAGGCUAUUAAUAUAAUACAACUUUUAACAACGGAUCUCUUGGCUCUCGCAUCGGAUGAAGAACGCAGC